rnacentral:lncRNA from 1 species
CCUUUAUGUUAUUUUCAAAGGAGAACAAAUUGACAUCAUUCUUUGAAGUUUAUGCAGAAUUUUCUUCGCACAGAGAACAAAAAUCAUGGAAGUUUUAAAGAAUUGCCGUUGAGUAGUUUUCCGUUAAAAAAUACAGUAUGACAGGAAACCGAGUUAUGUGAUUGCUGACUUACACCGUCGAAAUAUGAUUUGAAAGUGUGCCUCCAUUUCUUCAUUACUUUUUUCUAAUCAGAAUAGGACCUUCAAAUGAAUUAAAUAGUUCUCUAUUCAGUUUUUUGUGCUUUGUAAUGGAAAUGACAAAUGUUUAUUUUCCAGACUCUGGGAACAUCUUAUGGAGUUUGCGAGGCCAUGAUGCAGAAAUUGUCUCUGUUGCUUGGUGUCCAGAAAAUUUCUGGACUGACUUCAAAGGAAACCAAAAGAUGAGGAUGGAAAAACUGGGCCCCCACUAGUAGUAGCCACUGCAUCCAAGGAUUGCACUGUCACCGUAUGGAGGAACAAAGUCAGCGAACUCACUUUUAAUCUCUUCCCCGCCUCAAGGUACAAUAGUGCUCUUGGUAUCAAGCAUGUUUGUAUCUGUUGGCCCACCUCAAACACUAUCAUUGCUGGUACUCAUCAAGGAGAUUUGAAAUUACUCAAGCUGUCUGGAGAUCCCAAAACCGAGCUCAAAGGCACAAAGACAAGUAUCACAGACCUUCCAGUCAAGCACAACAAAUGUAUUUUCUCACUCACCUUCAAUCCGCUACAGAGCGAUGCCGGUGCUGGCGGUGAUGCAACUCCACCUAUCACUGUUUGGUCCGCUUCAAUUGAUCGCAAUAUCAUCGGUUUCAAUCUUAACAACCCCAAAAAACAAAUCUUCAUUCCCACCC